GACGAACGCUGGCGGCGUGCUUAACACAUGCAAGUCGAACGGAAAGGCCCUGCUUUUGUGGGGUGCUCGAGUGGCGAACGGGUGAGUAACACGUGAGUAACCUGCCCUUGACUUUGGGAUAACUUCAGGAAACUGGGGCUAAUACCGGAUAGGAGCUCCUGCUGCAUGGUGGGGGUUGGAAAGUUGCGGCGGUUGGGGAUGGACGCGCGGCUUAUCAGCUUGUUGGUGGGGUAGUGGCUUACCAAGGCAUUGACGGGUAGCCGGCCUGGGAGGGUGACCGGCCACAUGGGGCCUGAGAGAGGGCGCAGACGCGUACGGGAGACAACAGUGGGAAAUAUUGCACAGUGGGCGGGAGCCGGAGGCAGCGGCGCCGCGGGCGGGAUGACGGUCUUUGGGUUGUGAACCGCAUUAGCCUGUGACGAAGCGGGAGUGACGGUAAUGGGUAAAGAAGCACCGGCUAACUACGUG
rnacentral:rRNA from 1 species